GCGCCCUCUCCCAGCCCGCCGCAGCCCCGGUCCUUCCGCGGAAAUGUGGGGAGGAAAUAAGGAUGGCUGUUCUCUCCGCCUCCCUCCAACUUUAGUUUUUUUCUUAGGGGAUGAGAAAGCAAAACCAGCUCCCCUGCUCGGAGCCCGAGGGCCCUCGACGCCCCCGCUGCGCUCCCCCCCGCCCGGCCUGGCUUCUUCUCCAGCGAAUUGUGUUGCUUCUUCCCAAGAAGCUCCCUCGUCCACGUUCCACUUUUUUACCGUCCCGGGAGGCGUAAGAUAAAACCUCUGGUUUGCUGCAUGCCGCCGGACACAUUCUCUGCCCUUUCGUCAAAAUGUACUUGAUGGAGAGUUUAAAAUAACAAUAUUUAAAGGAGGAAAUAAAAAGGGGCGAAUUCUUUGCGACAUAAAUGCAUUAAAAAUUUUUUUAAACAGAAAUGUAUUUAAAGGUUUUAUGAGAUUUGCUGUAGUUCCUUCUAAAUUUUUGGAUUUCCUGGGGGGAUCUUUUCCAGAGGGAAACAGCAAAUUAAAAUUAAGGUGGAAGUGAGACAUCUCAACCACUUCUGAAAAUAAAGGAGAAAUUGAGAAAAUAUAUUCAGGAAAUAGCGGGAAGGCACCCACAGCGAAAACUGGAAUCGCCGAAGGCAGCGCCUCGGUGUCGCAGUUGGAGGAAGGAGGGCCAACCCACGGCCGGGAAGCAGGCGCGCGGCGGCAAGAGCGGGGAGAGCGGCGAGCCGGGCCGGGCCGCGGCUCUUGGGAGGAAGGCUGCGCCGGCGGUGCGAGCGCGAAACCGCGGGCGGGGAGGGCCGAGGUGGGCGGGGGCCGGGCGCGCGACCGGCGCCGCCGAUGAAGCUGGAGUCGGGCUCCGGUCGCCCGGCCGCCCCCAUUGUUCGGCCGCCGCGCAGCAGUUCGCCGAGCGCGUCCUUCCCGGGGGAGGGGUCCCGAGAUCGAACUCUGCCCCCACCCCCAGCUCCCCGAACUGCAAAAGGCUCGGGCCGG
ensembl:lncRNA